AUGGUUAGUAGUGUACCUAUUAGCAAGAAGUUUGUGGUGGGGGACCUCAAUGUCCACGUGGGUACAUCUAACAUAUGUUUUGAAGGGGUGCAUGGGGGCUUUGGCUAUGACAACAGGAAUCAAGGAGAUGUCUUAAGCUUCACUCUAGCCUACGACUUUAUCCGGGAUAAGCACGCCAAAGUCGCUAGAACAAAGUGGUGGAAUAUCAAGGUUGAAACAACUCAAGCUUUUAAGGAGAGGAUUAUUAAGGAGGGCCCUUGGAAGGAAGAAGGUGAUCCAAACAAUAUGUGGAUGAAGAUGGCGAAUUGCAUUCGUAAGGUGGCUUCAGAGGAGUUUUGGGUGACCAGACGAAGUAGAUGCAAAGCUAAAGAUACCUAG
rnacentral:rRNA from 1 species